rnacentral:rRNA from 1 species
CAAGGAAGUAAGAUCCCUGAAAGAUGAUCAGGUUGAUAGGUCUGAGGUGGAAGCGUGGUGACACGUGGAGCUGACAGAUACUAAUAGAUCGAGGACUUAACCUAUAUU